rnacentral:misc_RNA from 1 species
CAAAAUCUAAAGGUGGAUGUCAUAUUAUUGCCUUUCUAUAGGAACAUGAAAUCAGAAAGGAACUGCAAAAUGUAACCUAUAUACCAGUCUGAAAGUUACAAAAUCAUAGAAGAAUUUUUUGAGAAAUGUCAAAAAGUUGCAAGUACAAUGACUUGUAAGGGCUGAAAUAGAUAUUCCAGUGCUGAACAAAACAUUAUAUCACCUAUUUCCAUGGAAAGAAGAGGCAAAAGCAAAUUGGUAGACAUCUCAACUAAUCACAGACAUGGUGCCAAAAUGAGAAAAAUAGAGUUCCAUUUCAAGACCAACUUAGAAGAAACAAAACCCUUUCUCUUGCAAACUUAUCAAAAAGCUGAUACAGGUUCCUCUUUGUUAGUCCCAUUCACAUCAUAUGAAAUCCGCUAACAAAUUAAAACAAGUUAGGCUAAUCACACUUCCUAAAAUUUACAGCAACUGUCUAUGCAGUAACCUCUAUUACUGCAACAUCAACCGAUUCUGCUGGUGCUAUCGUCACUGCUGCUACUGCUACUGCUGCUGCUGCAUGAGUUUCCGGUAAUCCUUGUAAGUGUUGGGUGUAGUGGAACUCAAUCUGCAAACGGUGAUGAAGAGGUGCUGAAGAAAUUAUACCUUUCUUAAUAUCUGCCUGCAAUUCCCGUAUUGGAAUUGCAGCCAAAAAGCUCUUUAUAUACUCCUUGCAAGAGUCCUUUCCUUGGCAAAUCACCUCCCCUUCCUCCUCGCUCUUCAUUGGUUCCUCAGGCUUGAUUACUACUGCUCCUGAUACAGAGGCCUCCUCCUUUGAGUUCACCUGUUGGUUAUUGGGUUCCCCAGCAACUGCCACAAUAGGCUGAUCACCCAUUGUUUUCUCAUCUGAUGGCUGAGCAACAUUAGGCAAUUUGCGAAUGAUUGUAUUGCUGUCAAAUUUCAAAAUGUAUGCCUGAUCGCACCCCUCAUAGAGCCUUUCUCCUAAUGUGUCAAUGAUAUAGUAAGCUUCAGGUUCAACCUUGAGGAUGAAGAAAUGAUCAUUCCAGCUUACAAUAUACACCUGAGGUUCAUCAUUGUUAGGAUGUUCUGAUCCAGUGCCACUAAUCUCAUCCCAAAUAUUAUCAAAGGACAUGGCACCAUACAAAAAGUCAAAUCUUCCCUCAUACGUCACAUCAGGAUGGAAAAAUCCAAUAAAGGACUUGCCAGGAACAACAGAAAGAGAGCGUAUUUUGGCUUGGAGGACAGUUUCAAGGUCAAAGUGCUUGUCUGGGAAUUGCUCCCUGUAGGUCUCAUUCUCACAUAGGUUCCUCCAUUCCAGUGAUCCUUCUCUAAUCAAACUAUCGAAUUGGGACUUGAUAGGCAUAAUAUCAUGAUUAUUCUGAAACCAAUCAGCAAUGACAGCAACAAGUGCUGUACAUGCACUCUCGCCUGCUGCCCUCCCACUUCGCUGAUCAAUUGAAGCAAAAAAGACCUCUGUUUGAAGCUUCAUGUGCCCAUCACGACUAAUUAUAUUUUUGUGCUCCCAACUGCCUACAGCAAAAUUGUCAUCUCCAAAAUCAGAAACUGAUGAUCGAUUUGCAGUUGAAUCCUCAUCUGCUUUAUGAGACCCAAAAGCACCAGCAUCAUCAGAGCCAAGCUGCCGUCGAUCAUAAUCAAUAUCAUCUCCACCUUCUUCUCCAUAUGCCUUUUUCAACAAUGGCUCUCCUCUGGCCUUGGGCGACCUAAAGCUCAACUUCCUCUUCCUCCAAGGCAGUAUGCUACGCUUCGAGCUUUGCAAUAGAGAUGGCUCAGAGAUUUGAGUUAAAUCAUCAAUGUACGAGCAGCCCACAUCUGAUUUGCGAUUGCUGUAGUACACCCAAUCCUCAUCUUCAUGUUUCCUCGUAUCAGAGUAAAAUGAUCCUCCAGCACAGUUUGCAUAAGCCAGUGUGCCAUAACUAAAUGACUUCCUAACAGUAGAAUCCUCCUUGAUCUCAUCUGAUUCUCCUUCCUCAAAAUCAUCAAUUGAAUCUGAGUCAAACGGAUAGUUAUAGUCGCCUUCCUCACUUCUGGCUGAGCACCUGCCUUCACUUCCCUCUUCCUCACGGCAAGCCUUUUUUGCUCUCCUGGUGGAAACAUACUCCGUAAAAAUCUUUACCUUUCUCAGACCAGCUUUAAUUGCAGAAAGCUCAUCCUUCUCAGUUGAAACAGUUUCACCUGAUUGAGGUGGUAAUGAAACAGGAACUAUAGCUCUUUGCAAUGGCUCUGUGGCUUCUGGAACAGUUCUCAGUUCCAAUAAGCCAAGUGAUACCUGUAUGGUUAAUACAAAGUUUGAAUAAGUGAAUUUUGGGAAGGGGAAAUGUGAUUGGCACUCUAAAAAAGCAGAGUGGGGGGAAGCUAUUGGCACCAUCACCUAAUAGUGCGAAAUUCACUAAUAGGUACAGUUCCAAUAACAACACCUUCACAAAAAAUAUGAAAAGCACAAAAUCUCAUGUUUAUGAAAUCCAAAGCGAUCAAGCAAAUCAUAAAUGUUGAAGGAUAAAUGCUAAAAACUUGCAGAAUCCAGAUGGAAAUCAUAAAAAAUUCUAAUGCACGUACACAAAGCAUGGGCCAAGGCUCAGCUGCACCAGCAGGAAGCAAGAGAGGAAGGCUUAGUUCCAACUCUUUCUGUUCAGCGGUAGAAGCAUAUUCAGCAAGGUUCAGCAAAGCAGUUCCAACAGCAGGAACCUUGUUCUUUGGACCUUGGUUCGUGCCCUGAAUCAGAAAGCAGCAGCUUAACUCUCCAAAGGUUUAAAGAACAUAACUUAACGAACCUUCCAAUCACAAACACUAAAAACACACAUAGAAAUUAAUUAUAGAAAUCAUAUAAGAAUAGCAACCAAAUGAUUAUAAUUCCAAAAUAGCAGAAACCACAAACAACAAAAUCAAAUGAUAAUGUUUCAAAAAGAACACAUAGAAAAUGCUUUCAAACAAUCCGAUCAAACACCAAUCUUCAGCUGUGAACAAGAAUAUAAAUUCUCUGUCAAUCUAAAAUUCUAGAUCAAAAGGAUGCAACAUUGAAAAUAUUAGUAAAUCCAAGUUUUAAAUCUGUAAAGAUAAAUUAAGAAUCUUUCAUCCACUCAAACAGACUACCAAAUACAAUCAGCAAAAACAAAAAUAAAAAUCAAUAACUGAAUAAUAGACACUAAUCUUCACAUAUUCGUAUAGUUCAAUCACAACCCAUUUUGGCUUCAAUAGCAGGCAACCCAAACCAACAAAAAAUAUGAAGCCAAGAGAACAAAUAUUCGUCCCUGAAAUUCACCAGUAGGCUGCUGCAAUUCUCUCAACACCCAGAAGAAAAAAGCGAAAGAACAGAUAAAAGACAAUUUUUAAUACAAAUGGCAGAGAGAGAAGAAGCAAGCCCACAUUGAAGACUGUGAAAGCGAUCUCCCAAGGAUGAAACACAUUCUCCUUCUGAGGCGACAGAGUACAGAGACUCUGAAACUCCUCGUCCCACUCAACGACACCGUUUUCCUUACCAAAAACCUCCACUUCUUUGGUGAAAUUCCUCUUCACAGUCCUCCUCAAAGAACUCAACGCAAAUUUCGGACCCUUCCAUCGAAUCUCCACCGUUAAUUUCCCCGAAUUCUUUUCCUUGUCCUCUCCACCCUCCGGCACCAGAUCCCACCCCUCCAUCCUCCGGACCACCAGCCUCACCUCAUACUUCCGAGGACCCGACAGUGGCCAAGGCCGCCACCUCAUCAUCCUCACCACCAUUCUUCAAAAUCUCUUGAAAAACCGAAAAAUGCGCAACAACAAACCUCAAUAUCUCCAACUUCUAAAUAAUCAAAAAAAAUAUCAAAAUUUUCUGUUCUUUUCUUCGCUCUCUCACUCUCUCUCUCCCCCCCUUUCACACAAGUUAAAUAAAAAUGAAAGCGAAAACCAAGAUCAAUGGUUGUUUCUUGGGAUUUCAGUGAGAGAGGGAGAGAAAGAGAAUAUGCCGUUAUUUGGGGAAUGGAUUUUUAAAGAAAAUUAGAGUUGUUGGUACUCAAAGAGGGGAAAUAAAGAAAGAGCCUUUAUCUAAGAGACAAAAAGUGCAGGAUAUUGGGCUAGAAAAAAAAAGAGACAAAUAAGAAGUUAACUAGGGUUAAAACAGCAACAACAGAAGAGGGUUAGGGUUAAAAGUGGUGGUGGAGUGGUGGUCGUGGUGGUUGUGGUUGGGAGGAGGCAGAGCUCCGUGGAUUAGAAAACUUAGGAAGGCAUCCCGUGUGUAACGGCGUAUCUACAAG